UACGGGGGGGCUAGCGUUGUUCGGAAUUACUGGGCGUAAAGGGCGCGUAGGCGGCCUACUAAGUCGGACGUGAAAUCCCUCGGCUCAACCGGGGAACUGCGUCCGAUACUGGUGGGCUCGAAUCCGGGAGAGGGAUGUGGAAUUCCAGGUGUAGCGGUGAAAUGCGUAGAUAUACUGGAGGAACACCGGUGGCGAAGGCGGCAUCCUGGACCGGUAUUGACGCUGAUGCGCGAAAGCCAGGGAGCAAACGGG
rnacentral:rRNA from 1 species